rnacentral:rRNA from 1 species
UACGUAGGUGGCGAGCGUUAUCCGGAUUUACUGGGUGUAAAGGGCGUGUAGGCGGUUUUGUAAGUCGGACGUGAAAUUCCCAAGCUUAACUUGGGCGCUGCAUCCGAAACUGCGAAACUUGAGUACUGGAGAGGAUAGUGGAAUUCCUAGUGUAGCGGUAAAAUGCGUAGAUAUUAGGAGGAACAUCAGUGGCGAAGGCGACUAUCUGGACAGUAACUGACGCUGAGGCGCGAAAGCGUGGGGAGCAAACAGGAUUAGGUACCCUGGUAGUCCACGCCGUAAACGAUGGAUACUAGGUGUAGGGGGUAUCGACCCCCCCUGUGCCGGAGUUAACACAAUAAGUAUCCCACCUGGGGAGUACGGCCGCAAGGUUGAA